rnacentral:rRNA from 1 species
GACGAACGCUGGCGGCGUGCUUAACACAUGCAAGUCGAACGGAAAGGCCUCUUUCGGGGGGUACUCGAGUGGCGAACGGGUGAGUAACACGUGAGUAACCUGCCCUUGACUUUGGGAUAACUUCAGGAAACUGGGGCUAAUACCGGAUAGGAGCUCCUGCUGCAUGGUGGGGGUUGGAAAGUUUCGGCGGUUGGGGAUGGACUCGCGGCUUAUCAGCUUGUUGGUGGGGUAGUGGCUUACCAAGGCUUUGACGGGUAGCCGGCCUGAGAGGGUGACCGGCAACAUUGGGACUGAGAUACGGCCCAGACGCCGACGGGAGGCAGCAGUGGGGAAUAUUGCACAAUGGGUGGAAGCCUGAUGCAGCAACGCCGGGGGCGGGAUGACGGACUUCGGGUUGUAAACCGCUUUCGCUCAUGACGAAGCUUUGUGUGACGGUAGUGGGUAAAGAAGCACCGGCUAGCUACGUG